AGAAAAGGAAAGAGGUUUAGCUGCAAGGUCAAUUUUUAUUUAAUUAAUUUUUUAAUUGGAGGAGAAUUUUCAUUAAAAAGAAAUAAGUAGCCUUCUUGGUUUAUGUUUGACUAAAAGAUUAUGAAAGUAUAUUUGUAAAGGCAAUAAUGAAAGAUAAUUAAUUAAGCUUCUAACACACUGUGUGGAUUUUACUAAAUCCUUGCUAUAUGUAAUGCAUCAGCCAUCCCUGGGACUGUGUGUGGGCUGAGGGAGAGGUUUUGCACAGUAUCUCUUGACAGUACUGGGACAAAGAACUGGAACCCUUGAGCUGAGGAGACAUGCAGUAUUCUUGCUGUAGUCUUGCCCUGAUCUUGCCAUAAACCACAAACUGUACUAAGAUUUCUUGGCAGAGCCACUUUUUGAAAAAGGGAGAGUCUGCGGAGUUACUAUGUCACCAUGAAUGUCCUUCCUUCACGUCUGUUUCUGUGGAUAGUCUUGGCAGAAAAUUCACCAUAAGAGAAAGUAAUGAAGAGAAAGCAAUUCCUUAAGUCAUUCUUUUUGUUUCUCCCCUCCGCAGCUCUAGUUUUUUUCUUUCUUUUUUUUUCAAAGGGAGCUAUAAAACUUAAACUAUAUGCUUUCAGAAAUCUUUAAAGAAAUCAGACUUUAAAUUCUGGUGAGUAAAGAAAUCAGACUUUAAAUCCCUGGCUUAACAUGAAAUGCAGCUUUGUCUAUUUCACGCAUUACAGGUCUGUUUGCUUACCAGGAAAAAUGUCUCUACCUAAAAAAUCUCCCUGUCAUCUUCACAAAGAGAAGCAAUGACACAAUCUGUAAUUGCUAAGCUCACUGGGUGAGACCAGCGGGCCUGACCUUGGGAGCCAAAGGAGCUGAACUCCAGGUCUUUGACCCCUGACAGGCUGUUUUGCAGAAGUAUGUCUGUGCUGGACAUUCUCUCACACAGAAUGAACUUGCUUAGUGUUUACUUCAGCUUUUAAGCGGAAGUGGUGUGAAGCAGUUCUCUAAGCUCAUACAGUGCUACUCAGAGAUGCAGGAGAUGAUGCUUUGUUACAACGCAUGCUACUUGAACAUCCCCUCCCCACCUCUGAAGAAGUGCUGCCAGUUGGAUACAAACAAGUACAGGCAGAAGCUGGGUGGGGAAAUGCAUGACUCUGCAACAUUACUUGAAUCUUACCUUCUAAGAACAGUACUGCUGCAACAACAAGAAGUGUGAAAACUCAGCAACUACAAACCAGCAGCAAAGAUGGAGAGGAUGAAGACUGUUUUGAACACUUCAUCCCUGGCUUUCUUCUUUGUCAUCACCUAUGCUGAUGUUAAAUGAGAGCUUGAUGCCUAUGAGAAAUUAAAAAUAAAGUAAAUACUUUAAUCAUUUUAGUAAAAAUCCUUUUAAUACUAAGAACUUUUUGGUGUGGAAACUCUUUCUGAGGGCUGUCUGACUUGCAAUCCCAG